GUCACCUAUUGAAAUGUGCCAACAUGGCAAUGAUGUUUUGACAUAAUCCGAUCUGAUUUGUAGAAAGUUCGCACUUUUAGAAAGAUACUUUUUAUCACUUCUUAUCCUGCCUGGCCGAUGAUAUUUUGUGAUAACUUUAGUUACCAACCAAGUUUUGCUGAUUUGAUUUAUUGAUUUAUUAUUGUUUCGAUCAUUUUUUGUCUUUUAUUUUUGUAUUGCAGUAGAUGAGGAGUGUACUCAUGGCACCCCCUUGACUCAACAUCAAAGAAUGCUGUGUGAGGGUAGGGCCGGCAAAUAAGCGCAUCGAGAAGUUCGAGAAGCAUACUAACAGGAUAUUUUCCAUGUGCCUGUGGUCAGACGUCUUCUCUGUUUGUUGAGACUUUUGUCAAAUUGAUGCGAGAAAAAAUAUCAUCUGUGAUCAGUCAUCACUGACCUUAAUCCUAACCCCAAAGAAAUCUUAACCUUGCCUCUAAAAUAUUUUUCAAAAAUCAAUAAAUAAAUCCAUUUUGAAUCUUGUUUCAGAAGUAAAGUAUCAAUAUGCCUACAUAUAGCCCAAUAUAGUUUUGUGUUGACAACAGGUUAGUAACUUCACUGGAAAAUUGUAUUGUUUAAUAUAAUGCAUUGAAGAGUACAAUCGUGUACAUGUGCUUCAUAUGUAGAGAAAAACAUGCAAAUGAAACCAUUGAGGUGUAUACAUUAAUAGAAAUUAAUGAUCUAAACAGUAUGUUCCGAUUGUAAAUUGUCAAAUUUUUAAUUAGCUGCUUCAUUCUCUGAACCAUUGUGUACAAAAGGGUCUCAUUAAAUGGAAUGACGUAAUAA